AGCGAACGCUGGCGGCGUGCCUAACACAUGCAAGUCGAACGGAGUGAAAGAGCUUGCCCUUUCAUUUAGUGGCGCACGGGUGAGUAACGCGUAGAUAAUCUGCCUGAUGAUCUGGGAUAACACCUCGAAAGAGGUGCUAAUACCGGAUAAGCCCACGGGGUCUUUGGAUUCUGCGGGAAAAGGGGGGGACCUUUUGGCCUUCUGUCAUCAGAUGAGUCUGCGUACCAUUAGCUAGUUGGUAGGGUAAUGGCCUACCAAGGCUACGAUGGUUAGCUGGUUUGAGAGAAUGAUCAGCCACACUGGAACUGAGACACGGUCCAGACUCCUACGGGAGGCGGCAGUAGGGAAUUUUGCGCAAUGGGCGAAAGCCUGACGCAGCAACGCCGCGUGAGUGAUGAAGGCUUUCGGGUCGUAAAGCUCUGUCGAGGGGAAAGAAGUGUAUUGUGGCUAAUAUCCGCGAUACUUGACGGUACCCCUAAAGGAAGCACCGGCUAACUCCGUGCCAGCCGCCGCAGUAAAAC
rnacentral:rRNA from 1 species